GUUUUUGUUGAUAUCAUAGACAGAUUGUGCAGGUAACUAUAAAGUUUACUCUGCUCUUCUCCCAGUUUACCUGAGACCUAAUUUAACGUGUUUCGGGAGGAGAGGAUGAAUUUGCACGUUGUAAAUCCCACAGCUCUGAUGCAGCGCGAACUAACAUGGCG